rnacentral:rRNA from 1 species
AUGAGUGACUUUGGCAUGGCAGAAACAGAUGAUGGCCUAAGUCCUAAAAUUGGACGAUCUGGCAAUCUGGAUGCUAAAACUUUUGUUUCGGGGCAAGGGAAUAUUAUGAGAAAAGAACAUAUCCAAGAAUUUUUGAAUUGUGUCCGAAAUUUAACUCUUCAUGAUGCUCCUAUACUUAGAAUAACAAAAUCUUAUGCAGAAGCUAUUUCGGCACUAGUUCAGAAACUUGAAAAUAAAUUCAUCCAUACCCAUCCUACCUUGCAAAGAUCGUUUUAUGAGUUACUUGUUAUAAAGAAUCCCAAUGCUAAAAAGUUGGCUACCCUCGUUCCUAUGAAUGAAUUUGACUACAUAAUACGGUAA